GUCUCUUCUUUCUUCUUUCUUCUCUUUUCUUCUUUCUUCUCUUUCUCUUUCUUUCUCUUUCUCUUCCUUCUUCCAAAUGGAUAACAACCAAUUGUUAGCUGGUUUAAAUGCCAAAAAAUUGAAGA
rnacentral:ribozyme from 1 species